UACGAAGGACCCGAGCGUUAUCCGGAUUUAUUGGGUUUAAAGGGUGCGUAGGCGGAUUAGUAAGUCAGUGGUGAAAGCCCAUCGCUUAACGGUGGAACUGCCAUUGAUACUGCUAGUCUUGAGUAUGGUUGAGGUGGGCGGAAUGUGUCAUGUAGCGGUGAAAUGCUUAGAUAUGACCCAGAACACCAAUUGCGAAGGCAGCUCGCUAAGCCAUAACUGACGCUGAGGCACGAAAGCGUGGGGAGCAAACAGG
rnacentral:rRNA from 1 species